CCUAGAGGGGGGACGAACAGUUGGAAACGACUGCUAAUACCGCAUACGAUCUGACCUCGGCAUCGAGGAUGGAUGAAAGGUGGCCUCUAUUUAUAAGCUAUCACUGAAGGAGGGGAUUGCGUCUGAUUAGCUAGUUGGAGGGGUAACGGCCCACCAAGGCGAUGAUCAGUAGCCGGUCUGAGAGGAUGAACGGCCACAUUGGGACUGAGACACGGCCCAG
rnacentral:rRNA from 1 species